GUGUCGUGAGAUGUUGGUUAAGUCCGCACGAGCGCAACCCCUAUUGUUAGUUGCCAUCAUUCAGUUGGGCACUCUAGCGAGACUGCCGGUAAUAAACCGGAGGAAGGUGGGGAUGACGUCAAAUCAUCAUGCCCCUUAUGACCUGGGCUACACACGUGCUACAAUGGUUGGUACAACGAGUUGCGAGUCGGUGACGGCGAGCUAAUCUCUUAAAGCCAAUCUCAGUUCGGAUUGUAGGCUGCAACUCGCCUACAUGAAGUCGGAAUCGCUAGUAAUCGCGGAUCAGCACGCCGCGGUGAAUACGUUCCCGGGCCUU
rnacentral:rRNA from 1 species